rnacentral:lncRNA from 1 species
UGGCAUAAAAGGGAGAUUAUGAGUUGUGGGCCUUUUCGAUUGAUGCAUAAGCAAAGAUUAGUGAACGUAAUUGUCUCCACUCUACCGUUAUGCCCAAUGAAACAUCUCAACUAGUUUAUGCCCGGGACAUCUUGUCGAAGAAAGGAAUUAGGUAUGCAAUUUUCUUCAACUCGCCCCGUAAAGAAAACUAGUUAUUCACGGUUACGAGAGUCACAUAUCUUCGUUAAAUUGUUUCACAAGUGCUAUUCAGCUAGUAAAUAGUUAACGUGUAAAUUUUCGUAAUGAUAAGUUAUUAAAUCCGUUUUCGGAUAAACUUUGCGCAAAUCAAAAGUAUUGAAAAAGCCUGAAGGGGAGUAGGUUUAUAUUGAGGGUGGUUCACUUUCACCAUAAAGCUUGGAUUAAGAGAUGUGGGGCUUUUGGAACGAGGCAUAAUGCCAUUGCUAUUCUGCUAGCUAGCUUUUGCUCGAGUGGUCUUUGCGAUUACGACAAUGGCUGAGGGUGAAAGGAGCCUAAUAGGAGUGAUAUAUAUCAUUGUCCAAAAGUGGGGUUGUAACUUGCAACUUUGAAGUUCCUCCACCACAACUAUUUUUCCCCUUGAGAGCUACCCUUGACAUUUGACAAGACCCCAAUAUCACAAUGAUUUUAAUUCCCAAAAACCCAAACAACUGUAGUAGAGGGGCUUUGAUCCACGUUUACAGUCCUGGAAUGCAAAUAAGGUGUUCUGGGCUUGUAGCUAGUCUGGUGGUGAUCGAUUAUUGCAGAUUGGCUUUUACUGCAGGCAGUGAUAUGAUUUGUUGGGCAUGCGUUUGGAAUUGGUGAAGUGAUGGCCUAUGGGAUCAAAUCAGUGACGGAAGUUUGAACUUUUGUGAGCAUUUUGACGAAGAUUGAUGUGCGUUUUUGUACAUAUAGCUCAGCGUUUUCCCGUAAAGCAAUAUAGACGGUUGAUAUAUGCUUGGCACCCAAACCGACUGUUGUUAUAGUGGUUAGUUUUGUAGAAAGACUACGAAGUAAAAUCUAGAUUCUUAAUUAUUUAUUUCAUCUGAAUUAAAGUUAGGUACGCAGUAAAAAUUGUUACUACGUAGUUUGAAGUUUGAGCAAUACAAUUCAUAGCCAUAUCUUCCUGAAUGAGCUUUACAUUACAGCAUGAGGUUAAAACUUAGGAAGAUCGUCUUGGGAUUACAGAUAUCCCAAAUUCGAUCAAGUAGUAGAUUGAUGGUUGAGCUCAACUCCUCAUUAUGCGUAGUACUA